GGGGAUGCCAGGUCUCGACGGGAGAGGCUGGUUCCGGAUUGCGAGCCGAGAGGUGCCGAACUCGUAAAAUCAGUACAAAACAAUAAGUGCCAAUCGCACAUCCUACGCUACCCUUCCCCUCGCUGCAUAAGCGAGAACUAAAGGUGGCUGAUCUCCAGAGAUGAGAUCACGUCUCCCGAGACCGUUUAUCUGACCGGUCGCGGUAAAGAUGUCAUAAAAGUCAGAUUGCUGAUUAUCUUUCCGUGAGAUAAUCCUAAGAGGGCUUUCGGGUCCAAGCGGAUCGCCUGAUGUUUAUUCAGUUAGCUAGAUUGCAUCAGGUUAAAUGAAAUAGCUAACUACGCUCGUAGAGAUUCGAGAGUCUAAUCUUUCGGACGCGGGUUCGACUCCCGCCAUCUCCACAA
rnacentral:tmRNA from 1 species